rnacentral:rRNA from 1 species
UACGAAGGGGGCUAGCGUUGCUCGGAAUCACUGGGCGUAAAGGGCGCGUAGGCGGCCAUUUAAGUCAGGGGUGAAAGCCUGUGGCUCAACCACAGAAUUGCCUUCGAUACUGGAUGGCUUGAGACCGGAAGAGGUAAGUGGAACUGCGAGUGUAGAGGUGAAAUUCGUAGAUAUUCGCAAGAACCCCAGUGGCGAAGGCGGCUUAUUGGUCCGGAUCGGACGCUGAGCGCGAAAGCGUGGGGAGCAAACAGG